UUUCCGUGGGUGAACCUGCGGAAGGAUCAUUACUGAGUGACGUCCCUCUGUAUCCAACCUCCAACCCGUGUUUAUUGUACCUUGUUGCUUCGGUGAGCCCGCCGCACGGCCGCCGAGGGGCCUCUGCCCGCCGGCCCGCGCUCGCCGAAGUCACCAUUGAACUCUGUCUAAAGCCUGCAUUCUGUGCGAAAACUAAAUAAGUUAAAACUUUCAACAACGGAUCUCUUGGUUCGG
rnacentral:misc_RNA from 1 species